CCUACGGGGGGCAGCAGUGGGGGAUAUUGCACAAUGGGGGAAACCCUGAUGCAGCGAUGCCGCGUGAGCGAUGAAGUAUUUCGGUAUGUAAAGCUCUAUCAGCAGGGAAGAAAAUGACGGUACCUGACUAAGAAGCCCCGGCUAACUACGUGCCAGCAGCCGCGGUAAUACGUAGGGGGCAAGCGUUAUCCGGAUUUACUGGGUGUAAAGGGAGCGUAGACGGCAGUUCAAGUCUGAAGUGAAAGGCAAGGGCUCAACCCUUGGACUGCUUUGGAAACUGUGCUGCUGGAGUGUCGGAGAGGCAA
rnacentral:rRNA from 1 species